rnacentral:tRNA from 1 species
UGUGGCUUAGUGGUAGAGCACUUGCCUAGCAUGUAUGAGGCACUGGGUUUGAUUCUCAGCA